GCGGGAGUAACUCAGUUGGUAGAGUUCCUGCCUUCCAAGCAGGUGGUCGCGGGUUCGAGUCCCGUCUCCCGCU
rnacentral:tRNA from 1 species